CCUGGUUGAUGCUACCAGUAGAAUAUGCUUGGCUCAAAGAUUAUGCCAUGCCCGCAUAAGUACACAUGGAUGGUACAAUGAAAAUGCAAAUGGUUAAUUAAAUCAGUUAUGGUUCCUUUGAAUGCUCCCUCUGUUACUUGGAUAACUGUGGUAAUUCUAGAGCUAAUACAUGCCGACGAGCGCUGACCUCCCGGAUGCGUGCAUUUAUCAGACCAAACCAAUCGGCUCGCCCGGCCGUUUUUGGUGAUUCUAGAUAACCUUGCGCCGAUCGCUCACACGUUUGACGAUACCUUCAGGUGUCUGUCCUAUCAACUUUCUAUGGUACUUUAUGUGCCUACCAUGGUGGGGAAUCAGGGUUCGAUAUUGGAGAGGGAGCAUGAGAAAUGGCUUCCACAUCCAAGGAAGGCAGCAGGCUCGCAAAUUAUGCACUCCCGACUCAGCGAGGGAGCGACAAAUAAUAAUAAUACAGGACUCUUUCGAGGACCUGUAAUUGAAAUUAGUACACUUUAAAUCUAUUAAGGAGGAUCUAUAGAAGGGCAAGUCUGGUGGCCAGCAGCUCCGGUAAUUUCAGCUCCCAAUAGCAUAUAUUAAAGUUGCCUGCAGCUAAAAAUGUGGGAUCGAGCUGGCGUCCGUCUCAAGGCGAGAUUUUGCUUGUCCCAGCCCCUGCCUCAGAGCACCCACGUAAUUCUCUUGACUGAGUGUCCAAGGAGUCCGAAGCAUUUACUUUGAAAAAAAAUACAGUGUUGAAAGCAGGCGGUCGCCGGAAUAGGACUCCAGUGCUAUUUUGUUGUUUUUUCAGAACUGGGGCCAUUAUUAAGAGGGACAGCUGGGUGCAUUUGUGAUAUUCCACAAGAGGUGAAAUUCUUGGACCAACUCUAGAUGAACCAAAGUGAAAGGAUUUGCAAAGAGUGUUUUCCUUAAUCAAGAACGAAAGUCAGAGGUUCAGAAAUGAUGAGAUAAUAUCGUAGUUCUGACCAUAAAUGAUAAUGAAUUGCGAUCCAGCUAUGUUAUUCUCAUGACUCAUGAAACAGCUUCUGAGAAACCAAAGUCUUUGGGUUCCGGGGAAGUAUGUUUUUGAAGCUGCAACUUAACUGAAUUUACAGAAGGGCAACACCAGGAGUGGAGCCUGCGCCUUAAUUUGACUCAACAAAGGAAACCUCACCCAGCACGGACACUGAAAUGAUUGACAGAUUGAUAGCUCUUUCUCAAUUAUGUGGGUGGGGGUACAUAGCCAUUCUUAGUUGGUGGAGAAUUGUGCCUGGUUAAUUCUGAUAAAGAACGAGACUCCUCCAUGCUAACUGGUUAUGCUACCCACAUCGGUCGGCUUUCAAUUUCUUAGAGGACAAGUGGCGUACAGCCACAUAAGAUUGAGCAAUAACAGGACUUGGAUGCUCUUAGAUAUUCGGGGCUGCAGAGGCUAUCCAGCUGCAGCACAUUCAUGGUGGUGAUUGGGGAUUGCAAUUAUUGCCCAUGAACGAGGAAUUUCCAUUAAGUGCGGGUCAUAAUCUGGUGUUAAGUCCCUGCCCUUUGUGCACACCACCCGUCGCUACUAUUGAUUGGGUGGAUUAGUGAGGUCCUUGCAUCGGCCCCACUGGGUUUGGAAACAGGCCUGGCGGAGCACCCAGAAGAUGAUCAAACCAUCUAUGUAGAGGAAGUAAAAGUCAUAAUGUUUCCGCAGGUGAACCUGUGGAAG
rnacentral:rRNA from 1 species